rnacentral:tRNA from 1 species
GGUCUGGUGGUCUAGUGGUAUGAUUCUCGCUUAGGGUACACCCUACAGCUAAUGUGCGAAAGGUCCCGGGUUCAAUCCCCGGCCAGACCC